AGCUGCACCAGGAGGGCUAGUUUGUGGAGCUGGGCCUCUCCAACUAUGCCGCCUGGGAGGUGGCUGAGAUCUGCACCCUCUGCAAGAGCAACGGCUGGAUCAUGCCUACCGUGUACCAGGGCAUGUACAACGUCACCACCCGGCAGGCCGAAAAGGAACUCUUCCCCUGCCUGAGGCACUUUGGACUGAGGUUCUACGCCUACAACCCUCUGGCUGGGGGCCUGCUGACCGGCAAGUACAAGUACGAGGACAAGGACGGGAAACAGCCUGCGGGCCGCUUCUUUGGGAAUAACUUGGCGGAGAUCUACAGGAAUCGGUGAGCUGGGGGUCUGCGUCAGUGCAGGAGGUAACCUGGGUCCCCUUAGCAUGACAUAGGGAGUCCCUGGGGCUGCUUUCCUGGGGCGAGGACUCCCACUGCUGCUCAGACUGAGGGCCCUGCAGUCCCACCCAUUUGA